AGGGGAAUAUUGGACAAUGGGCGCAAGCCUGAUCCAGCCAUGCCGCGUGAGUGAUGAAGGCCCCAGGGUUGUAAAGCUCUUUCACCGGUGAAGAUAAUGACGGUAACCGGAGAAGAAGCCCCGGCUAACUUCGUGCCAGCAGCCGCGGUAAUAAGAAGGGGGAUAGCGUUGUUCGGAUUUACUGGGCGUAAAGCGCACGUAGGCGGACUAUUAAGUCAGGGGUGAAAUCCCGGGGCUCAACCCCGGAACUGCCUUUGAUACUGGUAGUCUUGAGUUCGAGAGAGGUGAGUGGAAUUCCGAGUGUAGAGGUGAAAUUCGUAGAUAUUCGGGGGAACACCAGUGGCGCAGGCGGCUCACUGGCUCGAUACUGACGCUGAGGUGCGAAAGCGUGGGGAGCAAACAGG
rnacentral:rRNA from 1 species